UUCAGACCAUCCAAGGGCUAGCACCAUUUUCCUAAAGAAAUCUCAAAAGAAUGGUGUCUCCAGGUCUGUGUGGAAAGCACAGCUCGUGCUCAACCAUCUUUUUAGAUGAGAGCACAAUAUCUGAGCCUAAUGUUAGGAUCACCGUGCAUUGCCUGGUAUUUGCGAUAUAUUACCACAUUAAGAACAGG